UCUGAGGCUACGCAGGACUCUGACAGAAGAAUACGGCCAGGGGACUUACUGAGAGGUCCACAACUGUCUUGAUGGCCUUUUCUUUUCUCUUUAUGAAGUCAUCAUCCUACAAGACAAAACAGAGCGAUUAAACAAAUCCCAAGGGAAAAUUAAAACUCAAGUGGACCACUCAGAUAUGUCUUAUAAAUUGACUUCUCAUCUCAUCACUACUUUGCCUGACGAAGUCUCAAUUUUCGAACAAAUUGUAAUAUAUUCUCCAUGGGAAAAGGCUACAAACCCUGCAGAUGGCUCCAACAUAGAUCCCUACACAGCCAGUAAGAAAAAGGGGGUCAUAAGGAAUAGUGCUUAAGACGAGAGUUCUCAUUUCAAAUCCUCUUAAGCACUGAAACCUCAGCUCGUUUCACCAGCCACUGGGGAAGAAAGUGAAAAGACAAGAGUUGCUAAGGACAACAUCCCACUGAAGUGAAGGCCAGUUCAGACAUGGCCCAACUCAUGAACUCAAAUCAGCAUAGUUGAACUGACUAGGUGAUAAGAAGCUAUCAACACAUGCUGUUCUAUAGGAAAAGCAACCAGCUGGGUAUCCAAGAUGUUAAGAUCCAAUGGGACCUAGUGCUGAGUAGCCGUGCAGGAGCUUUAAAGCCUUACUUCACAUCCUUGAGCCUCAGUUUUCCUUUCUGUAAAAGUAUAUCAGUUCCCUUCACCUCACAGAGCUAACAUGGGAGUAAAUGAAAUCACAAGUAGUAGAGUGAUUUGUAAACACCUGAAGCACAAAACAAACAGAGCUAUCUCCCAACUUCCUGGUCCUACUGGCAGAUCUUCAUGUAAAUCUCUUUUUCUUGUGCUCCUUACACGACAGACCAGGGAAAAGGGAGAGAACCACAGAGAAUGCUAGUGUAACUCCCCAUUUGACAAGUGAAAAAAUGUCCAAAAUACUCAGAUUUGACAAUGGUGCAUACUGAGUACGCAGUUGAAGGCACUGGUUUAUCCUGACAUUCAUAACAUUCUCUCUUAAUCCUCACAAUGUCGGAUGGUACUGGCUGAGUUUUACUGAACCUGAAGUGCCGGGAGACUAUAUAACUUACUCAUGGAUCCAUAGCUAGCCAGCUGCAAAGCUGGGAGUCACAACUCAAGAGACUAUUCUACACCGAAGACUGGACAAAUGGUUUCAUGAAAUGUUUCCCAGCUUUGUUAGGCUGAUACCCAGAAACAGCUGCUCUUCACUUCUCCCAACUGAAAACUCCAGUUAUUAUCAUUAAAACACCACCCUGCAGAAGAUCCACCUGCAGAAGAUCCACCCGCCCUGAGGGUAAAAACCUGCAGAAGAUCCACCCGCUCUGAGGGUAAAACUUUGGCUGGUAAAAGAUAUGCUGAAUAAAGGAACACCAGGUAUAUCCCCUGAUGCCACAAGCUCAUUGCCAAGGAGUAGAUGACAUUGGCUACAUCACCACAAUAGAUUCUCUGAAAAUUCAGCAAGUGUCACACAGAAGUAUGUGGACAGUGUUGUUGGAGUCACAAAUGGGUCCGCGGUCCUCAACGGGCUGUUAAUCUUCAUAGCUGAGGGAGACACAUGCCCAAGUAGUAUAUACUACUCAUCACAUGCUGAAGGAAUCCAGGGAAAAGGAAGAAAGACCUCCACUGAUAGUACUGUGGAAUAUUGGGUUGGACGGAUUUAAAGUAGAACGUGGGAGACCAGACAGAAGUCUACAGCAAAAGGCCAGGCAAAAACUUGAUGAGAGCCUAGAAUACAGAAGUGGCAAAAAAGAAAACUUCAAAUGUCACAGUACAAAUCCUAUUGUUCACUAUCCUGGGUCCCAUCCCAGGCAACGUGCAUGUAAGAUUUUACCUAAUAC
rnacentral:lncRNA from 1 species